ACCCUCUCAGGGUUGCACCUGGAGAGUUUCCAAUACUCUACCAGCCUUGACAACUGGAGGGAGAGUCAAGCAGAGUCAUAUCCAUUCCAUUCCUAGCUUGGGCAGUGACUAGCAAGUGGAAAGCAAUCUGCUACAAUU